AUUGAACGCUGGCGGCAGGCCUAACACAUGCAAGUCGAGCGAGCGGCGGACGGGUGAGUAAUGUAUGGGGAUCUGCCCGAUAGAGGGGGAUAACUACUGGAAACGGUGGCUAAUACCGCAUACUAUCGGAUGUGCCCAGAUGGGAUUAGCUAGUAGGUGGGGUAAAGGCUCACCUAGGCGACGAUCCCUAGCUGGUCUGAGAGGAUGAACGGCAACACGGGAACUGAGACACGGUCCAGACUCCUACGGGAGGCAGCAGUGGGGAAUAUUGCACAAUGGGGGCAAGCCUGAUGCAGCCAUGCCGCGUGUAUGAAGAAGGCCUUCGGGUUGUAAAGUACUUUCAGCGGGGAGGCGUUACUCGCAGAAGAAGCACCGGCUAACUCCGUGCCAGCCGCCGCGGUAAUUC
rnacentral:rRNA from 1 species